UUAAUAUUGACUUUUGCACUUGUGCUACCCUUCAAUACUCCAAAAGCUCCAAAGGAGCACGUCCCUGUCUGCAAGCCUGAUGAAAAAAACAUAUCGCUGCAAGGGUACCCUCCGCCAUGCAUACCGAGGCCACCAGUACUUGGCAGUUCUUCCCCGUCUAUCGAUCAUGAACAGGACACCAAAUAUAACAACACAACUCGUAACUGAUAAACGACCAACCCUCCUCAGUCAUCAUACAACAAAUAUUUCUUGAAUUUUAUUUAUAAGGAUAUUGCAAAGUCGUAUGUAUUAUUGUCUCCAAUUAGAUAUGAUAUUACUAUUAGGAUCUAUUUGGGCGAUUACGGAAUUUUAAGAUCAAGAAUAAAAGUCACCAUUAUGCUGAGCUUCUUUUUAUUCAAAAAAAAUUAUUUAUGCGU
rnacentral:lncRNA from 1 species